AAACAAUUCUAACAUUAGCCCAUCCUCUUUCCAUAUUUAGCCUCACGCGCUUAGUAAACCGACGAAGUUUUUUUUGUUUCUUCCUAGACGAAUAUGAGUGGUUUUGUAGCGUGCAUGCAUGUACACAAAUGUUAACAAUGUUCUAUCUACGUGUUUAUAUGUAUAUAAAUAUUAAUAACGUUCUAUAUACGUGCUUACAUGUAUUUUAAUGUUAAUAACGCU
rnacentral:lncRNA from 1 species